CGCUAGGGGCGCUGACGAAUAAGCGCGGUAGAACCUAAGGCCGCAGGUGUUCUAUUUAUUCAGCAAACGUUUAUUGGGCACCUGAAGUCCUCGGGACCGACGGUGUGCUAAAUUCAGGCUUCUACUCCCAGGCUGACAUCUUGAACCCGGUGUGAUAAUCCAGGAUGUCAGCGCUGAAAGGCCCGCAAGAGCAUUCCUGGUCCAAACCCUACCGCCUCCAACUCAUUUUGCAGAGGAAACUGAAGAUUAGCCCUGAGCUAACAUCUGCUGCCACUCCUCCUCUUUUUGCUGAGGAAGACUGGCC